UACGUAGGGUGCGAGCGUUAAUCGGAAUUACUGGGCGUAAAGCGUGCGCAGGCGGUGAUGUAAGUCAGUUGUGAAAUCCCCGGGCUCAACCUGGGAACUGCAUCUGUGACUGCAUUGCUGGAGUGCGGCAGAGGGGGAUGGAAUUCCGCGUGUAGCAGUGAAAUGCGUAGAUAUGCGGAGGAACACCGAUGGCGAAGGCAAUCCGCUGGGCCUGCACUGACGCUCAUGCACGAAAGCGUGGGGAGCAAACAGG
rnacentral:rRNA from 1 species